rnacentral:rRNA from 1 species
GACGAACGCUGGCGGCGUGCUUAACACAUGCAAGUCGAACGGAAAGGCCUGUCCUUCCUUGUGUUGGACGGGUACUCGAGUGGCGAACGGGUGAGUAACACGUGAGUGAUCUGCCCCCAACUUGGGUAUAAGCCUGGGAAACUGGGUCUAAUUCCCGAUAGGACUGCAGGGUGGUGCCUGUGGUGGAAAACGAUUUUCUAGUGGUUGGGGAUGGGCUCGCGGCCUAUCAGCUUGUUGGUGGGGUAAUGGCCUACCAAGGCGGCGACGGGUAGCCGGCCUGAGAGGGUGGACGGCCACAUUGGGACUGAGAUCCGGCCCAGACUCCUACGGGAGGCAGCAGUGGGGACUAUUGCACAAUGGGCGGAAGCCUGAUGCAGCGACGCCGCGUGGGGGAUGACGGCCUUCGGGUUGUAAACUCCUUUCGACCGCGAGGAAGCCGCCUGGUUGGAAGGGUGGUGACGGUAGUGGUAGAAGAAGCACCGGCUAACUACGUG